AGUGAACGCUGGCGAUAGGCCUAACACAUGCAAGUCGAACGGCAGCACAGUAAGAGCUUGCUCUUACGGGUGGCGAGUGGCGGACGGGUGAGGAAUACAUCGGAAUCUACUUUUUCGUGGGGGAUAACGUAGGGAAACUUACGCUAAUACCGCAUACGACCUACGGGUUAAAGCAGGGGAUCUUCUGACCUUGCGCGAUUGAAUGAGCCGAUGUCGGAUUAGCUAGUUGGCGGGGUAAAGGCCCACCAAGGCGACGAUCCGUAGCCGGUCUGAGAGGAUGAUCAGCCACACUGGAACUGAGACACGGUCCAGACUCCUACGGGAGGCAGCAGUGGGGAAUAUUGGACAAUGGGCGCAAGCCUGAUCCAGCCAUACCGCGUGGGUGAAGAAGGCCUUUGGGUUGUAAAGCCCUUUUGUUGGGAAAGAAAAGCAGCAGGUUAAUACCCCGCUGUUCUGACGGUACCCAAAGAAUAAGCACCGGCUAACUUCGUG
rnacentral:rRNA from 1 species